rnacentral:snRNA from 1 species
AAACUUACCUGGCGCAAAGGUUUACCGUGAUCAAGAAGGCUGUUCCUUCGAGGCGAGGCUCUUCCAUUGCACAUCGGUUGAGUUGACCCUUGCGAUUGCCCCAAACGCGGGCACUCGUGCGUACAAUUUUUGAGUGUUGGGACUUGCGUUCGCGCGGUCCCUGA